rnacentral:rRNA from 1 species
GGUAACGCAUGCUGGACGUAUCAGAAGUGCGAAUGCUGACAUGAGUAACGAUAAAGGGGGGUGAAAAACCUCCUCGCCGGAAGACCAAGGGUUCCUGUCCAACGUUAAUCGGGGCAGGGUAAGUCGACCCCUAAGGCGAGGCCGAAAGGCGUAGUCGAUGGGAAACGGGUUAAUAUUCCCGUACUUCUUACAAUUGCGAUGGGGGGACGGAAGGCUAGGUGGGCCUGGCGACGGUUGUCCAGGUUCAAGUGUGUAGGCUGAAGAGUUAGGUAAAUCCGGCUCUUUCUAAGGCUGAGACACGACGUCGAGCACCUACGGGUGUGAAGUCAUUGAUGCCAUGCUUCCAGGAAAAGCCUCUAAGCUUCAGAUUGUAAGGAAUCGUACCCCAAACCGACACAGGUGGUCGGGUAGAGAAUACCAAGGCGCUUGAGAGAACUCGGGUGAAGGAACUAGGCAAAAUGGUACCGUAACUUCGGGAGAAGGUACGCUCUCGACGGUGAAGUCCCUCGCGGAUGGAGCUAUUGAGAGUCGCAGAUACCAGGUGGCUGCAAACUGUUUAUUUAAAAACACAGCACUGUGCAAAUCGCAAGAUGACGUAUACGGUGUGACGCCUGCCCGGUGCCGGAAGGUUAAUUGAUGGGGUUAGACUUCGGUCGAAGCUCUUGAUCGAAGCCCCGGUAAACGGCGGCCCGUAACUAUAACGGUCCUAAGGUAGCGAAAUUCCUUGUCGGGUAAGUUCCGACCUGCACGAAUGGCGUAAUGAUGGCCACGCUGUCUCCACCCGAGACUCAGUGAAAUUGAAAUCGCUGUGAAGAUGCAGUGUACCCGCGGCUAGACGGAAAGACCCCGUGAACCUUUACUACAGCUUGGCCACUGAACAUUGACCCUACAUGUGUAGGAUAGGUGGGAGGCUUUGAAGCGGCAGUCGCUAGAUUGCGUGGAGCCGUCCUUGAAAUACCACCCUUGUAGUGUUGAUGUUCUAACGUCGACCCCUUAUCGGGGUUGCGGACAGUGCCUGGUGGGUAGUUUGACUGGGGCGGUCUCCUCCCAAAGCGUAACGGAGGAGCACGAAGGUGGGCUAAUCACGGUUGGACAUCGUGAGGUUAGUGCAAUGGCAUAAGCCCGCUUGACUGCGAGAAUGACAAUUCGAGCAGGUGCGAAAGCAGGUCAUAGUGAUCCGGUGGUUCUGAAUGGAAGGGCCAUCGCUCAACGGAUAAAAGGUACUCCGGGGAUAACAGGCUGAUACCGCCCAAGAGUUCAUAUCGACGGCGGUGUUUGGCACCUCGAUGUCGGCUCAUCACAUCCUGGGGCUGAAGUCGGUCCCAAGGGUAUGGCUGUUCGCCAUUUAAAGUGGUACGCGAGCUGGGUUUAGAACGUCGUGAGACAGUUCGGUCCCUAUCUGCCGUGGGCGUUGGAGAAUUGAAAGGGGCUGCUCCUAGUACGAGAGGACCGGAGUGGACGAACCUCUGGUGUUCGGGUUGUGUCGCCAGACGCAUUGCCCGGUAGCUAAGUUCGGGAUCGAUAACCGCUGAAAGCAUCUAAGCGGGAAGCGAGCCUUGAGAUGAGUUCUCCCUGAUACUUUAAGUAUCCUAAAAGGGUUGUCGUAGACUACGACGUUGAUAGGCAGGGUGUGUAAGCGUUGUGAGGCGUUGAGCUAACCUGUACUAAUUGCCCGUGAGGCUUAACCAU